UAGACCAGGCCCAAUAGCACCCUGUUCCCUAUGUAGUGCACUACUUUAGACCAGGCCCAAUGGCACCCUGUUCCCUAUGUAGUGCACUACUUUAGACCAGGCCCAAUGCGUCCUAUAUGAUUAUAAUCCCCACAAUACUAAAUGUUACUGUGUUCACGUCUUCAGGUUAAUAUCCUUUAACAUAAAACACACAGCUUUUAGUAUGAUUCUACUUGUUGGUAUUUCUUCCUGUUGAAGCGUCUUUCUGAAUGAAUAAUCCUUGGUGAUUUGUACAGGAAGGAAGAGACCUUAACGUUCUGCCUUCCCAGGUGAUUUGUACAGGAAGGAAGAGACCUUAACGUUCUGCCUUCCCAGGUGAUUUGUACAGGAAGGAAGAGACCUUAACGUUCUGCCUUCCCAGGUGAUUUGUAUAGGAAGGAAGAGACCUUAACGUUCUGCCUUCCCAGGUGAUUUGUACAGGAAGGAAGAGACCUUAACGUUCUGCCUUCCCAGGUGAUUUGUACAGGAAGGAAGAGACCUUAACGUUCUGCCUUCCCAGGUGAUUUGUAUAGGAAGGAAGAGACCUUAACGUUCUGCCUUCCCAGGUGAUUUGUACAGGAAGUAAGAGACCUUAACGUUCUGCCUUCCCAGGUGAUUUGUACAGGAAGUAAGAGACCUUAACGUUCUGCCUUCCCAGGUGAUUUGUACAGGAAGGAAGAGACCUUAACGUUCUGUCUGUCUGACUGUCUGUCUGUCUGACUGCUAUGGUGACCGUCUGUCUGUCUGUCUGCUAUGGUGAUCGUCUGUCUGUCUGACUGACUGUCUGACUGCUAUGGUGACUGUCUGUCUGACUGCUAUGGUGACUGUCUGUCUGUCUGUCUGACUGCUAUGGUGACCGUCUGACUGACUGCUAUGGUGACCGUCUGUCUGACUGACUGCUAUGGUGACCGUCUGUCUGUCUGACUCCUAUGGUGACUGUCUGUCCUGUCUGACUGCUAUGGUGACUGUCUGUCCUGUCUGACUGCCUGUCUGACUGUCUGUCUGACUGCUAUGGUGACUGUCUGUCCUGUCUGACUGCUAUUGUGACUGUCUGACUGUCUGUCUGACUGCUAUGGUGACUGUCUGUCCUGUCUGACUGCUAUGGUGACUGUCUGUCCUGUCUGACUGCCUGUCUGACUGUCUGUCUGACUGCUAUGGUGACUGUCUGUCCUGUCUGACUGCUAUUGUGACUGUCUGACUGUCUGUCUGACUGCUAUGGUGACCGUCUGUCUGACUACUAUGGUGACCGUCUGUCUGACUGACUGCUAUGGUGACCAUCUGUCUGCCUGUCUGCCUGUCUGUCUGCGUGUGCUGGGCAUUAACUGAGAUCACAGUAAUCUUUUCAGUUUUUAAACAACUAAUUGAUGACAUCGGAGCAAAAAUAUCAACGCGACAUGUAAAGUGUUUAUAAAAUAAAUAAAAGAUCCCAGAAAUGUUUCAUACGCACAAAAAGCUAAUUUCUCUCAUAUGUUAAUAUUGUGCACUAAUCUGUUUACAGCCCUGUUAAUGAGCAUUUCUUCUUUGCCAAGAGAAUCUAUCCACCUGACAGGUGUGGCAUAUUAAGAAGCUGAUUAAACAUUACACAGGUGCACCUUGUGCUGGGGACAAUAAAAGGCCACUCUAAAUGUGCAGUUCUGUCACACAACACAAUGCCACAGAGUGCAGGGAUGUCCACCAGAACAGUUUGAUAGUCUUUUUGUCUGUCUGUCUGUUUGCCUGUCUGUCUGUCUGUUUGCCUGUCUGCUAGCCUGUGUGUUUGCCUGCCUGUCUGUCUGUUUGCCUGUCUGUUUGCUUGCCUGUCUGUCUGUUUGCCUGUCUGCCCGUCUGCUUGCCUGUCUGUCUGCCUGUCUGUUUGCCUGCCUGUCUGUUUGCCUGUCUGUCUGUUUGCCUGCUUGUCUGUAUGCCUGUCUAUAUUCCUGUCUGUAUGCCUGUCUGUCUGUAUGCCUGCCUAUAUGUCUGUUUGCCUGUCUGUCUGUUUGCCUGCCUGUCUGUCUGCCUGUGUUUGCCUGUCUGUCUGUAUGCCUGGUUACACACUACUUGGAUAGUUUUUCCCACCACUGUAUGGAAGCAAACUGAAACUCAUAUCAACAUCCAAUUUAACCCCUUUUCCACAGUGACGUAGACUAUAAUUAUUCUGCAUUUUUACUGUGUCUAAAUGGUUCAUGAUCUGUAAGGAUGAAAUUUGAAGAUCUGUGCCUUACUCAAUUUUAUUUGACAAUUUGUAUCUUGUUAAUAAAUAUUAGCCACUA